CCCGCCCCUCCCCCCCAGUCCGUUUGUAGGGUUCUGGGCUCGCGGCCCCCGUCACACCCGCGCGCCCAGGCUGGUGGGGCCAGAGGUGAAGUGGCAGUUGAGAGAACGUUGGUGAGCGGUGAGGGCACGUUGGUGACCUUUGAGGGCACGUGAGGCGUUGGUGCCUGGUAUUCCUCCAUCCCCGGUGUCGCCCACACCCGCUUCCCUGGGAUGCGUCGGCCGGCUCUUCUCCCCCAGUCUUUGUGCCGCGGAGCUCCGGAUCUGGGACUUGUGAGUGACCCCGUCCCCCUGCCACAGGUCUGCGUGGGCACGGCAGGGGGGAGCUGCGCCCUACCAGUCCCGCCCCUUCCCUCCUUGGGCCCUAGACUCGUCCCGGUUCUUUUACCCCGGGACCACCCUCCGCCUGCAGGCGCCACGCUCCUCCGGCCUCGGGGCACGCAGUCAUCAGCUGGAGGCUCUGGGCUUACGGAGGGAAAGCAGGAAAAUAAGGGAUCAAAACGGAGCGAUGCUCUGGAGGGAGAUGGAGAGGACAUGACGGUAAAUGCGCGCCUUCCCCUGAGGAAGAGGAGGUGGGAGUCUUUGAGAGCCGGUCAGAGACCCUGCAGGACCCUGGUGUCUGUAAAACUACUCCUGGACUGGGGUGGGGAUCGUGGGCUCUGGAGCUGACACCAGUCUCCCGAGGUGCAGGCGUGUGUGCAAGGUGGGGAUCGUGGGCUCUGGACUGACCCAGUCUCCCGAGGUGCAGGCGUGUGUGCAAGGUGGGGAUCGUGGGCUCUGGAGCUGACACCAGUCUCCUGAGGUGCAGGUGUGUGUGCAUCAGAGUCUCUCUGAUGUGUCUUUGUGGAGGUCAGCAACCCAGGUCACUUCCCUGCCAACAGUGUGACUAUAAUGGGUUCAGGAUCCCCAACUCUAGCCCCGUCUUUGCCUUGGAAAUGGCACGGGGAACCUCACAUCUCCUCACGGGAUCAUUAAUUCUGUGCCGGGCAUUGGCCCCUGGCUGUUCUUUGCCGAGACCCCCCCGAGAGCCAGAACCAAGGUUAGGGCUGGGAUCAAGCCGACGAAUGACAGCCUCCGAAAGGACAGUCGUGCAGGGGUCUGCCCUGAGGGCUGAGUUGAGGGUGCCUGUCAGUGUUCUGGUCAGGCUUUGCAUCUGGCUCCAGGGUCUGGCCGAGUAUCUCAGGGAGGUCGAGGUUUGGGCUCACAGUCGCUUCUGCAGGAACCGUCCAGGCCCUUGACGGGUCACGCGGACCUUCUGGCUUCCUCCCUGAAGAAAUCUCAUGUGGCCACCACAGCGCCAGCGUGGGUCCUGGCCCACAGGGGGUGCGUGGCGCCCCUAGAGGCAGGAGGCAUGGCCCAGGUUAGGUUUGGGUUAGGUUUAGGUCACCGGAGGGGACAGGGGAUGAACCAACAGCAGGGCAGGGCCCUUCCCUGAGGGCUGAGCGGAGGGAGCUUGAUGGGGCUCAGGUGACCCUGGGGGGCCGGCUAACUCUGCGGGCCAGCGGGAGGCUUGGGUCCAGGCUGUCCUUCUGGAGGCCGGAGGCCGUGUGGGAGUGUCACGGUGAACAUCAGGCCGUUUUGCUGGGAGACUCCGUGCCUCUCGAGUGUCCCAAGUCACUUGUCUCCACACCUGCCCGAUGGACAUCCGGGAGGUCCUCGUCCUCUAAAAUCUAAGGAAUCUCCUAUGGCGUCUGCUGCGGCUGUUGUGUGACGGAGUCAUAAGAUGUGUCGCUCAUCUAAACAGCCAACACCAGAUGUGAAGCAAGUAAGCUCCUCCUCCAAUGUGACCGUGAUCCCUGCUGCUCCUCCCAAGGAAGAGGGCCUGGAGGCAGGUGCCCUGGACAUUUACUCAUUAUGCUGAUUAAGACUCACUGUUUCCUUCAUUUUCCUCUACGACCAGAACUGCAUAGAAUGUUGAGGCACGUUUUCCAGUAAUUUCAUGUUUGGAUUUGAAUUCAUGAAGCCAAUCCUAGUACAGUAACUAGAGAAAUUAAGAACAAUAUUUUUCUUUUUCAUUAAUAGUUUUAUUUUUUUUUCAACAGAAUUAUUUUAUUGGAUUUAAGUAAUAUAAUUCUCCAAUACUUUAUCUUAGAAAUUAAAAGCAUGUCUACACAUGUAUAAAAUUGGUGUUACUAUCAUGUUUUAUAGUUGCUGAGAAUGAAGGAGAACAAUCUAUUCUGGUGCUCAGCAGUAAACCGUGAGAAUCCAUAAUUA